GACGUAGGGCGCGAGCGUUGUCCGGAUUUAUUGGGCGUAAAGAGCUCGUAGGCGGCUUGUCGCGUCGACUGUGAAAUCCCGCGGCUCAACUCCGGGCCUGCAGCCGAUACGGGCAGACUAGAGUACUGCAGGGGAGACUGGAAUUCCUAGUGUAGCGGUGGAAUGCGCAGAUAUCAGGAGGAACACCGGUGGCGAAGGCGGGUCUCUGGGCAGUAACUGACGCUGAGGAGCGAAAGCGUGGGGAGCGAACAGG
rnacentral:rRNA from 1 species